ensembl:misc_RNA
GCCUCUGCCCCUGCUUCCCUCCUCUUUUGUCGCCAUGAAGCAAACAGGAAGGAAUGUUUAUUAGCAGGGCUGACUGGGGUCACACCCAACGCAGUAUCAGAUUUUUACCUCUGCUGGGCUUGGGAAGAGGUUCAAGGAUCAAGGCCAGCU